CGCUGCUGCCUGUUGGUCCAGCAACCUCUAGAUUUGUCUCUCAGGCUCUCGCUAGAAGGCUCGGGUCCGAUCCAGCGCCACCGCCGCACGGCCGUGUAUAUGACUAUAAAAAGUGACUCGCCUCCUCCCACCCGUACCACCUAGCUCAUGCCUCCUCUCCUGCCGCAGCCCUUCCCUACAUCUCCUCUCCCCAUGGCCAAGCUGCGCCACGGACGCGGCGGGGAUGGUUACCGACACCGUGAGCCACAGAAGAACGAUUGAGUCCUGCAGCGCCGGCGGUAGCGCCUUCCCGGCCGCCGGCGUCCUCUUCCACUUCCAAGCCAUCGAGGAGGACUGCUGUGGCUCUUCCCAUGGCGGCCUCGAGGUUUUGAUUGGGUCCUUGCAUCGGUUUUAACGGAGCCUGAUAGGAACGCCGGGAGAGAAGUAGCCUUGGAUUGGAGUAUCGUGGGCAUUUCAUCCUGUUUGUGGUGGCCAUGGGGCAGGCCAUCGUCGAGAUCCAUCCCUGUGAGCCGCAGUUCAUCUGAUGGGGCAUUGGGGAGAAUUCGUGCUCGAUCCGGCUGCCACCACACGCCAUCUGGUGGGGAAGUAGAGGGGUAGCCGAGCGGAGGAGCGGGCGCGGGUCGGCCGCAGCUCUGGGAGCUCCAGCGGCAGCAAGAGUGGUACAUGAUGACGGCCGCGCUGUAUCCGUACCUCCUCCCGCCGCUCUUCGACGACCUGCCGGCGGCGCUUUUGGCCGCGAGUGCUCUUUGGUCGUGGCCGCGGGAGCCAUGCACGAGCCGGCGUUUCACUAGUGCGCGUGCAGCGCUCUUUCGCUCUCCGGACGGCCUAAUCGAGCGCAUGUACCCAAUCCCCGUCUCUGUCCUCGCCACUGCCUCCGCCAGAAGCCCCGGCAGCGGUCUGCCGUCCUCCUUCCCUCUCAGCCAGAUGUUCUUGUGCUGCUAGCUCAUAUCUCUCUCCCGUACAAUACAAAGACGGGAUGCGUUUGAGGUUUGAACACAUCAUGUGAGUUCAAGCCCCACCACAGACUGUUCUGAAGUUUCUUGAGAUUUUCUGGUUAGGGAGAUUUGGGAUAAAAUAUGCUCUGAAUUUUGGACAACAGUACUGCCAUGAGUUCGAAGUAACAUACUGUUUUGCAAAAAAAGCAGAAGUAACAUACUGAACCGUGAACCGAUUUAGGCUUGCUCAGUUUGUGGCUGCUCAAUUGUGGUGGAUGAACUUAUUAUGAUUUGUUCUCCAAUUCUCCCUUUUUGUGAUAGAGUUUGUGAUUAUUAAGAUUUAGGCAAUGUGUGUCUGUGUCCUUUGCAAAACUUAUCAGUACGAAUCUCCACAUCAUUCAUAUUGAUAUUGUUUUUGACAGGGUAUGCUGGCUGGAACUCAAGGCGGGUUUUUCCGACCAAGUUUUUGGCCAUCCAAUUAACUCUGCUUGGAGGCUUGGACCUUCUAAUAAUUUUAUAAAUUUCAUUUGCUUACAUCAUCUCUACUGAUUAGGUGUUUAAUUUAAGCACUUAACUCUUUAUUCUGAUGGUUAAUUGUUGACUGGAUGUAAAUUUUCAUUUUUAACAAUGAUUCAGCAAUGCAAACUAUCUUCCUAAGAAUAUACUUCCGCUUUCCAAAAAAAUAUUUCCUUCAUGGCCUUCGACCUCGCUUGCUGCUUCUGGAGUAUAGAUACAGUUUGAGGUAGAUAGCAGAGAGCAGUCCAGCGGUAAGAGUUGGAACUAACUUUUUUUUAUAUCAGUUGGAACUAAGCUGCAAAACGAGCUAUACCUAUCGUGCCUCUCGAGCUCACUCCCGUGCCUAUACCUAUCUUGGCGGUCGGCGCCUAUACCCAUCUCGGCGGUCCUUGAUGGGUAUAGGCGCGGAAGUGGGUUCCCAUUUCUUUUGCCUUUCUGAUCAGCACAAUUGGUCCUGGAUGUAUCUAAUCUUUGUCCUGGGUUUCCAUUUCUUCUGUCUAGGAAGCAUUAUUAUCAAAAUCAGCAGGAUCUUUGAGGCCUUGCGACGCUUAACUUUAGUGAGUGGUGUAGGAUCUGGAUUUUAUCCUAAACUACUAUUAAACUCACAAGAGGGAGCAUUUGGGCAAUAUCUGCAUAAAUAUAAACUAUAAAAUUAUAUUAUGGGAGGAGUUUGUUCAUUUUUCAGAACUAAGGAAGUUGGAUAAGUUUAAAUCACUUAUUCAGCAGUUAACUGAACUUUUCUAAUUGUAUUUCAAAUCCACAAGCGGACAAAAUCAUUACUCUUUCCUAUCAUUUAAAUCAGAUGGACGGGCUCCAAACUCCCAGUGCCAUUUGUCGUUUUUGUGUUUUGAUUUUUAUUCGAGUGCCUUUGGUGCUUCUCUUCUCUUGUCGAGAUACAACUCGGUCUGCCGCCAUAGAACACCACUCUGGGCCACCAAUUUGUCAACUCCAUCUCGGCAUUAUGCAUCCAUGGUUGCAGUACUAACCCAUAUUAAUAUUCUCUUGACGUUGUUGUUAUUAGCUUAUAUGUUGAUGUUUCCCUGUAGUUUCCACUUCAGUUACUGAGAUUUUAGUUGUGUGAGCAAAACGACAGUUCUAGGAUUAAUGCUUAUAGUUUGUUGCCAAGUAAUUUCCCUUGGUGGGCAUAUUUCUAAAUAUAGUUUGGCUGAUGAACUUGCGUGUUGUACAGCAUAUCUUGCAGAGAAUAUUCUGUUUUGUUUCUUCAUCUCAUCAUUUGGCCAGUUAAAUGUUUGUGUUUGUAUCCACUGUACAUGGUAUUUCUAAAACGAUAUUGCUAAGGCAUGCAUCGAAUUACCCAUGAUCCACCUGUUAUUUGGAGCCCACUAGCUUAAGUAGCCUAUAACUCAGAUGUCUAGAUGUCUCUUCUACCUGACCUUUGUGUAUCUCAUUCAGUAUGUUUUUGUCAGAGCAAGUGUAUGUUCAGGACCUGCAAUUAAUAGUCAUGGUCAUGUGCUAUAUGUGUAUUCUCUGUAUAUAUAUGCAGCUGCAUACACUUAGUAUGUGUAGUCAGGGCAACUAAUUUCUGUAUGUAAAGAAAUAAUGUGUCUAUUUUUUUAAGAGCAAAUGAGAAGUUUAUGACAAUGCCA